rnacentral:rRNA from 1 species
UGGGGAAUUUUGGACAAUGGGGGAAACCCUGAUCCAGCCAUCCCGCGUGUGCGAUGAAGGCCUUCGGGUUGUAAAGCACUUUUGGCAUGAAAGAAACGUCAUGGGUUAAUACCCCGUGAAACUGACGGUACCUGCAGAAUAAGCACCGGCUAACUACGUGCCAGCAGCCGCGGUAAUACGUAGGGUGCAAGCGUUAAUCGGAAUUACUGGGCGUAAAGCGUGCGCAGGCGGUUCGGAAAGAAAGAUGUGAAAUCCCAGAGCUCAACUUUGGAACUGCAUUUUUAACUACCGGGCUAGAGUGUGUCAGAGGGAGGUGGAAUUCCGCGUGUAGCAGUGAAAUGCGUAGAUAUGCGGAGGAACACCGAUGGCGAAGGCAGCCUCCUGGGAUAACACUGACGCUCAUGCACGAAAGCGUGGGGAGCAAACAGG